CAGCUCCAGUACAGCCCGGCAACUGAAUCGGGCCUGGAGGCGCUGCGGAGAGAGCUGCCAUUGCUGAGACCCACAGAAGCCUCAGACGGUGAGCGCAGCAGCCCCUCCACUCAGCACUCCCGCCCCGUGUCUUCACCGCCAGGGCGCUCUGGCGAUCGGAUCGUGACACCUCGGGGUUGGAGCCCUUGCAGAUUUCCAGUCAAUGCGGUCGGCUGCCAGGGUAAUUACAGUCAUGUGUCUCCUAAUGACGGGGCUCUGCUCCCAGAAAUGCAUCCCUAGGCAGUUUUGUGGAGGAACGUCACGGUAUUCUCACGGGCCUGGAGAGCACGGGCCAGUCACCAAGACCGGCAGUAGACGCUGCGUGUACGAGGCUGCGGUAGUUUAACACGCUGGUAGUUUAACAGGUUAACCAGCUACGCGCCUGUUUCCGUCUAGAAGCAGUAUACAUUAAGAACAGCAAACAACCCAGUGAGGGAAUCCGGAAGGUAGUCAGCUGCCAUCAAGCGAUCCGUGCCGUGACUUGUUGACCUUGAUUUUUUUUUUAAACAAGCCUACCUUAUUUAGGGUAUCAAACGCUCCUACCUCCCUUCCGACCCCCCAGCUCGGGGUAGGAGGGAAAGAAGGUUAGUGGGGACAGGGGGUGGAGUUCUCUCUGCUACUUCCCACUGGGCAGGGCCAUAGGACUCUUUUGGGGGCCAAUGCCAAUGUCAGUCGUCCAGAAGUACAGGUCACCAGCAGACGAGCAAACAGCCAACGCAGCAGCAGGACGGACGAACCAGCAGCGAGCAGUCCUCCUCCAAGCAGCGGCGCCUUCAUCCUCUGGGCCCUCACAUUUACACCCCUCAGAGUCCUCAGACUUCAACUAAUUCCACCUGGCAAAGAUCACGCUCUGCGAGAGACACUUAACAGGGGUGGACAAACUAUGCCCCCCAACUUGGAAUUUUAACAAAAACAUGCUUACAUGUCAUAAACCAACACUGACUAAUGGGACAUUGGUCUAGAUAGCAGCACAGACAUGCGGAGAUAUGUUAUGCCUCAAAUGUCACUCAGUGGUAGGACUUUUUCAGCUCCGUUGCGGUCUUUCGAGGCCGCCCUCAUUUAUGCCAUCUGUCGUCGAUUGAGACACCGUCAUACCAAGCACGGCUGGAUUUGUCAGCCCUCAGGUGGGCAGUCCAUUGACCUCGAGGCGUUCAGAGCUGGGAGGUGUCUUAGUGUCUGUGUGGCCCACAGACACUUCCAUAUAUCUAGAAGGUGACAGCACGACACGGUCUGUAAGUGUAACAAUGACUAGAACAGAACGCCAUUUCUAUCGGUAUUUGGUAUUGGUAUGAGUAGAGGAAAAAAAUAUUUUUCUCUGACUUAACAAUCUGUUUUUUCCCCCUUCUGAAUAUCAGAAUAACAAGAGCUCAGUGCUCUUGAAAAUUAAAAAUCAAGUAAAAUUAGAAAUCAAAAUCAUACCCGUGGCUGGGGACGAUGGCUCUGGGGAAGAACACUUAAUAUGGGAGCAUGAGGAGCUGAGCUAUAAUCUCCAGCACUCACAUAAAAUGGCAGACCCGGCCACACAGCCACGCAUGGGGACACACACACACACACAUUCAUGACCACAGUGUGGGGAGUGGAAAACAGGAGAAUUCCUGGGGCUUGACAUUUGCCAGCUUAGCUUCAGGUUCAAAGAGAUCCUACCUCACAGGAAGAGGGUAGAGUGAGUUAGAGUGGAGCCUCUGAUAUCCUCCUCUGACCUCUGAAUGUGUGCAUACAGGUAUGCCCACCCAGAUACAUACACAUGCCCAUAAACUACACAGACACACACAACACCACAUAAAUACAAGUUAAUCUAUAUUUUAUAAUUCAUUAAUGCUGUCACAUUGAUCCAUAGCUUGAGACAGCUCACUCUUGCUUUAUUUUAGGCUCUAGUAAACAGAUGUAUUUGCCUGCUAAAGGUUUGCAUACUUAAAUGUUAACACACACAAAUGAAUGGUGCUAGGUCUUUGUGAAAUGUAUUUUAUUUUAUUAAAACUCUCUAUAUUUUCUUUCAUGGUGGAGAUGGUUUUUACCGUAAUCAGUGCUUUGCUGCUUUCUCACAGGAAAGGAAACACAAAGAACAGGAUUCCAGAUAAUAGAGUUGGCUCCAUGGGUGAAUUUCCCAGUGCACACGUGUGAGAACCUGGAUCCCCAGCACUCAUGUAGAGGGCAUGGUUACAUACAUGUGCCUGCAACCCCAGUGCUGGAGGAUCCCUGAGAGCCCUGGGAGAAGUGGAGCAAGCAUGGAGUGGAAAUCUCCGGGUCGUGUUUCGUAAACAUCGAGAUGCGUGGGAACAAGUAUAAGAUUUUGGAAUCCGUUAGACAUGAUGCCGUCAUUGGUGCCGUCGUCUGAGAAGUGGAAUUCCUUCGUGCUGAAUGGAUUCGCCUGUCUGCUGCUCGUCGGCCAUCAAUGCGGGCUUUGUUCUGAAGCCUCCGUGUUAAUAUAAGCACAAAAACCGUGAUAACAGAAGAGUGGCUGUCACACCCUCCUGACAUUAAAGGCCUGGAGAGCAGGUCACGCGGCAGCCUUUGAAGCCUGAGCUCUCCCCUACGCAGAGCCUUGCUCCGGGGAAGCUAGGUGUGCGGCACUCCUUCCUGCGGCCAUUUGCCGAGCGUCCUCAGUGACACCAUCUGCGGUGCUCCCCUUGCUAACGCUGUCAGUCACGAGCCCCAUGACAUUUCCCUCCCACGAACUCUUCUCUGAUGCCUGCAUGGUCUUCUCCAUGUAUAUCCCCUGCCAGGCUGGUCCACACGUUCAGUGAGCUAACACUGACACAUGAUGAGCAGCCAAAGGCCUCGGUUUAUGUUAGGGUCUGCUGUUAGCGUCGUACUGUCCGUGGAUUAGGACAAAUGUGGGAUGGCUGGGACCCACCAUUACAGCUUCUUUGGAGGUAUUUUCACUGUGCUGAAAAAUCUCUUGUGUUCCCGAGUCAGUAUAUCCAACCUCCCUACCCUUGGCAGCCAUACAUCUUUUUGCUGUAUUCAUAGAUUUCCCUUUUCUUGUACGCCAAGUAGUUGAAAAUUGCACAGCACACACCAUUUUUAGAUUCUCUCUCUCUGUCUGUGUGUGUGUGUGUAUGUAUUAUGCAUGUGUACGCGUUUGUGAGUAUGUACAUGUGUGAGUGUGAAUGUGCGUCCAUAUGGAGGCCGGAGGUCGAAGUUAGGCAUCUUCCUUUAAUCACACUCCACCUUAGUUUGAGGCAGGCUUUCUCACUGUUUGGAGCUCACCAAUAUGGGAAGACUCACCUAGUCAGCUCCAAGGACCCUCCGGUCUCCACUUCCCCAGUACGGGGAUAACAGGCUCAUGCCAGCAUGCCUGAUGAGCCUUUUACAUUGAUGCUGGGGAUGUGAACUCAGAUUCUCAUGGUUGCGCGGUGAACACUUACCGGCUGAAGUGUCUGCCAACUCCGUCAGACUGGCUUCUUGCUCUCAGGAGUAACAGGAAGCCAGUGUUCCUUCAUGGAGCUUCAAGGCUUUUAAAAUCUUAGUUCUGACUGAUAUUCCAUUGUCUGGUUAUAAUAGAGCUUAUUAAUUCACUCCCCCGAAGAUUACUUCCACGUUUUGGUGACAGAGAGCAAUCUGUGGGGCUUUGUGUAAACAUAUGUUUUUAGAUCUUAUGGAGAAAUUCUAGAGCGUAUAAUCAUGGGAUCAUGUGAUGAGUAUAUAUGGAUUUUCAUGUCAUCAAAUUGUCCCCCAAAGUGACUGUCGUGUCAUUUUACACCCUCACCAGGAGUGUCACUCUGCUUCUGUUAGCAUUUGUUACUGUCAUUGUUCAGAAUUUCGAAUAUGUUAGUAAUGGUAUUUUACUGCUGUUUUGAUUUACAUUUACUUAUAUCUAAUGAAGCGGAACAAACUUUA